rnacentral:rRNA from 1 species
CGAAGGUCCCAAGCGUUAUCCGGAUUUAUUGGGUUUAAAGGGUGCGUAGGCGGGUUAUUAAGUCAGUGGUGAAAGCUCCAUGCCUAACAUGGAAAUUGCCAUUGAUACUGAUGAUCUUGAGUACAUUUGAAGAGGGCGGAAUGUGUCAUGUAGUGGUGAAAUACUUAGAUAUGACACAGAACACCGAUUGCGUAGGCAGCUCACUAAACUGUAACUGACGCUGAGGCACGAAAGCGUGGGGAGCAAACAGGAUUAGAUACCCUGGUAGUCCACGCCCUAAACGAUGAUCACUCGAUGUGUGCGAUACACUGUACGCGUCCAAGCGAAAGCAUUAAGUGAUCCACCUGGGGAUACGGCCGCAAGGCUG